UGUGCCCUGGACAGAGCUUCCCUAUAGGUGACACCUUCCCAUGAAUCAUUUCCUUACUACGGUGUCCAUCAGUAAUCCUCUGUGAUGUCCAGAGACAUAUGGUGCUCAUAAAGGUCUCUGUCCCCACUGCUGACGGUCCAUCAGACAGUUUCCAUCCUCACGGCCAACCAGCUGAACCUCUCGGAAA